UACGUAGGGACCGAGCGUUGUCCGGAAUCAUUGGGCGUAAAGAGCGUGUAGGCGGCCAACUAAGUCCUGCGUGAAAUCUCGGGGCUCAACCCCGAGCGGUCGUGGGAAACUGGUUGGCUAGAGUGCGGGAGAGGAGAGUGGAAUUCCUGGUGUAGCGGUGAAAUGCGCAGAUAUCAGGAAGAACACCCGUGGCGAAGGCGGGUCUCUGGAACGCAACUGACGCUGAGACGCGAAAGCGUGGGGAGCAAACAGG
rnacentral:rRNA from 1 species